GAUGAAGAACGUAGCGAAAUGCGAUAAGUAAUGUGAAUUGCAGAAUUCAGUGAAUCAUCGAAUCUUUGAACGCACCUUGCGCCCUUUGGCCAUUCCGAAGGGCAUGCCUGUUUGAGUAUCAUGAACACCUCAACUCUUUAUGGUUUUCCAUGAUGAGCUUGGACUCUGGGGGUUUUGCUGGCUCACAGUCGGCUCCGCUAAAAUGAAUCAGCUUACCAGUGUUUGGUGGGUAUCAUGGGUGUGAUAACUAUCUACGCUUGUGGUUUUUCCACCAGGUAACCUUCAGCAGUGGAGGUUCGCUGGAGCUCAUAGAUGUCUCUCCUCAGUGAGGACAGCCCUUUGAAUGUUUGAUCUCAAAUCAGGUAGGACUACCCGCUGAACUUAAGCAUAUCAAUAAGCGGAGGA
rnacentral:misc_RNA from 1 species